UUCCCCUGAUUAGGGGCACAAGAUGUGGAAUACGGAGAAUUUUGCUAUCUAGCUAAGUUUCUGCAUUCUCCAGCUGAUACUUGAUAAGUCCCACUGGGAUUCAAGCUUGGAACUUGGACAUGCUGCUCUUUACUGAAAUCUCGUAAAACAAGCUCAUACGCAGCACCUAGGGGAACGUGAAAAACAACCUGGUUAUAAAUAUUUAAGCUUCAUUGUGAAUUGUACACUAGAGGUAAGAAAGCAGGAACUCCUCCAUUCAAGAGAUAUGUGAGGCUAGAAAAUGUGAAACCAUUACUGUGUGCUCCCAGAGACUUUGUCCCGUUCCACAUCUGGUGGAUGGGAGAUAAAAAUUGCUUCAAAAAAGCCCACUCAAUAUCACUGCUUCUGCAGCUCCAUGCAUCACUUUAAUGAAGGACUAUUUGCUAAUUUGAAGCCAAACAUUUCAUUUUGCUUUUCAUUUAAUUUGAAAAAUACCUUUAGUUCUUUCUCAGUUUUGCUCAGGUCAAAAACUGGGCUCCGUGGAAUUCUCUGCUGAUAAAAUCUAAAAGACAGCAAGGAACUCUUUGCAAAGCUUUGUUUUUGUAAUUUCUAGGGUAUUAAUCUGAUACUUUUUCCUAUUGCCAAGAGCUAACACUAGUGACUUGCUACAGUUUAUGCUAUAUUUUCCUAGGAAAAGAAGUUGUUUUUACUUGUGAAGAGUGAUGAUGUUUAAUGAAAACCACUACUUAGGGUGUUCUGCAAUGAUGGAAGACUGGCAUCCACGUACCACUUCUUGUUCUCCAGAAAUCAGAUCAAAUCUCCAUGAUGUGGGGGUCUGUGGCAGUGCUGGGGCCAGUGGAAGAGGCAGGAUUUACUCGCUGGGUGUGAUGAGAAGCUGUCUCAAAGUGUCUUGAGAGUUCAUUCAAUUGUGUUGCUUCCUCUUCCAUCCAUCUUCUGAUCCAUCUUCUAAUACAGUUAAUGCAGAGGCUCAUUUUAAGUUUUGAGUGUAUGCCCAUAUUAUCUUGUUUAAAGUAAAAAAAAUAAAAAAUAAAAAGAAAGAAAGAAAUCCAUUAAGCCAAUACACUGAAACAAAAUAAUUUGAUUCAGUCAAGAAAAUAUUACACUUUCUUUCAUGUUUUUUGUCCUUUGUAAUGUUGCCAACUAACAUCUUGUGCUUCACUUCCCUUAUCACUCUUUAUUUUGAAUUGACAACCUGGUUUGCUUAGACAUGAUGUAUGCUUCCUUAUUAUUUAGGACACAUUUUUAAUGGCAUAUUUGGAAUUUUUGGAUGUUUUUCCCAAUGGAAGUGAAGUUGCUAUCUCCUCCAUGGUUUCAGUCUGGUCAUAGUUAGGAUUUUUCAGGCCACACACAGGCCAACAUCUUACUGUUGGCAAGAAACAGACAUCUAGGCUCAUAAAUUAUAUUCAUAAAUAUUUAGUGUAAUCAUAUGUGUGGCUUUCUAAAUAAAGAGGAGGAAAACCAAGACCUGAGGAAAUCUGGUAAUUCUGAGGGAAGAAUAAUUUAUUUUGUCAGGAAGAAAAACCUUCUACAAAAUCUGUAGAACUAUAAUUUACUCCUGAGAUUUAAAAUAAAUCAUAUUUUUGUACAAGUAUAAUAUGAAUGAAAAUACUUCCAGAAAAUCAGUGUAGGCUUUGACCAACAGAAGCAAUUGAAAUAUUGAACACUGGAAGUAUUCAGUAAUAGUGAACAAUACAUGAUUUAUUAUGCCAGGAGAGAGACUAUCUAAUCAUAUAGAUCCCAUUCUCAAGGGUGCAGUGCAAUAAGGACAAAAAGGACUGCAGUAGCCGUGAUGGUGACUUGUAGGAACAGUGCAUGGCCUUUCUUCAGCAGGACAGCACCAAGGAGAGAAACUUUCCCUGUGGGCUCUACUCACUUCCCUCAGCUUUUCAGUGAGCUGCUGAACCUCUUCUCUGAAGGUCAGACUGUGAGCUGGGCAGAGCUCAACAAAGACGAGUCUCGCUAAGUCACACUUGUCUUCAUGUGUAAUAAAUAAAAAGAUGACC
ensembl:lncRNA